rnacentral:lncRNA from 1 species
CGGCCUUUUACACAGCACAGCACCCAGCCCUCGGCAGCCCAGAGCAGGAACCAACAGGGUAGGUGCCCAGGGGCCCCAAAGGUCAGAGUUCCUCGCACAGCUGCCAGGGAGCACAGGGACCGCAGCACAGGGUCUUCUGCUCAGCACCGGGACCCCGCUCGCUGCAGCUAAAGAAACAGAUACGUCCAAGGGCUCCACGGCCGGGGCCGGGCACCUGGAACAGGGUGGUCCUGGGGCGGCCACAUCCACUCCUUCCAGCUAACACUUCACAGAGAUGUCUGACUGAUGUCCACUGCUCAGCUGCACCGCUGAGCUGGUGAGCAUUCAGGCAGAGCACCCACCUCUACUUUUCUCACCCCGAAAAUCAGAGACUGGUUCUCAGCUGGUGCAGCCACCGCCCCAGCGUGCCGGAUGCAGGACUUUCCCUGCGAACACUGGACAGUCCCAGCAAAGCAGACGGUGGGUCGCUCUGUAUCUCUGAAGAACAGCUGGGCCUGCGUGUGUCAUUCUCAGGCAUCUGGCGCAGGGCUUCUCCUCCAGGAAGGUGGCUGCUCAGCUCCGGGCACUGCCAGGGGCCACGGACCCCGCAUCCUUUCCAGGCUGUUCCGCAGCAUCUGCCCUCAUACUCACAGCCACCGCUGCGUGUGUCCCAGGGAUUCUCAGAAUAGAAUUCUGUGCCUCUCUCGCCUCUGGAAGUGACCGCGCUCUGUAGGAAAAUAUCACAGCACGCCGGCCUCGAAAGGCCACGACGUGGCCCUAAACUGUUCUAAGUAUGUCAGUUACUUAGAACAAUCAGAAAGGGGCAGAACAAGCUGGGGUGUGGAGUCAGGGGUCAGGGCACAGACAGCAUCUCUUGUCUUGCAGAGAGAAUGCUAGCAAUUUGCAAGUUACUUGAAAAGGUUUGUGAUUUUCCAACGCCCUGAGUAAUUCUAGCCAAAAUGCGUGACUCGCCUCACACUAGAUGCUUGCUGUAAUUGUGUCUCUGUAUUAAACUGACCGUUCUUUGGAGCUUCAGAAUGGACCAGGAGGAAAAGGUAAAUACCAACCUCGCUACAACCUCAGAGGCAUCAACGCCCUCCUGCUACAGACGCAUCUGUUCUCGCCUGGCUCCUGCCGGCUGCCCUGGGAGAGGCCACAAAAUGCCCUCCACGGAGACAAGGCCUGAGAACCUUCGGGACGCCCGCUGCCGCUCACUGUGUUGAAGAACUGCCCGUUCCGCACCCCGGGCCCUAGACACACGGCUCUGCAGAGGACGAGGAAGUGCCGUCAGGUGAGACUUCACCAUGAAAUAUCUUCUGAGACACAACAAUCUCCCUGAAUUAAAACUACAGACUCUAAUUUAUAAAAACUGUGUGUUUCAAAAGCUCCAAGUGUUUACAUUCUCCGAUUCAUCAUUCCUUCUUCUAAUUUAUUUUAGGAAAUAAUGCAAAGUACUCACAAAAAUUUAUAUAGAAAGAUGUUCAUUGCAGAA